rnacentral:tRNA from 1 species
UAGAUGGAAGCCCGUUUGGUUGGGGCAUUUAGCUGUUAACUAGAGUUUUGUGGGAUCGAGGCCCACCCAUCUAG